rnacentral:rRNA from 1 species
CCUACGGGUGGCAGCAGUGAGGAAUAUUGGUCAAUGGGCGCGAGCCUGAACCAGCCAAGUCGCGUGAGGGAAGACGGUCCUAUGGAUUGUAAACCUCUUUUGUCGGGGAGCAAAAGACGCCACGUGUGGCGUUCCGAGAGUACCCGAAGAAAAAGCAUCGGCUAACUCCGUGCCAGCAGCCGCGGUAAUACGGAGGAUGUGAGCGUUAUCCGGAUUUAUUGGGGUUAAAGGGUGCGUAGGCGGUUUUAUAAGUUAGAGGUGAAAAUUCGGGGCUCAACUCCGGACGUGCCUCUAAUACUGUAUGACUAGAGAAUAGAUGCGGUAGGCGGAAUGUAUGGUGUAGCGGUGAAAUGCGUAGAGAUCAUACAGAACACCGAUUGCGAAGGCAGCUUACCAAACUAUAUCUGACGUUGAGGCACGAAAGCGUGGGGAGCAAACAGGAUUAGAUACCCCUGUAGUC